rnacentral:rRNA from 1 species
UACGAAGGGUGCAAGCGUUAAUCGGAAUUGCUGGGCGUAAAGCGCGCGUAGGUGGUUCAGUAAGUUGGAAGUGAAAUCCCCGGGCUCAACCUGGGAACUGCUUUCAAAACUGCUGAGCUAGAGUACGGUAGAGGGUGGUGGAAUUUCCUGUGUAGCGGUGAAAUGCGUAGAUAUAGGAAGGAACACCAGUGGCGAAGGCGACCACCUGGACUGAUACUGACACUGAGGUGCGAAAGCAUGGGGAGCAAACAGG